CCUACGGGAGGCAGCAGUGAGGAAUAUUGGUCAAUGGACGAGAGUCUGAACCAGCCAAGUAGCGUGAAGGAUGACUGCCCUAUGGGUUGUAAACUUCUUUUAUAUGGGAAUAAAAUGUUCCACGUGUGGGAUUUUGUAUGUACCAUAUGAAUAAGGAUCGGCUAACUCCGUGCCAGCAGCCGCGGUAUUACGGAGGAUCCGAGCUUUAUCCGGGUUUAUUGGGUUUAAGGGGAGCGUAGGUGGAUUGUUAAGUCAGUUGUGAAAGUUUGCGGCUCAACGGUAAAAUUGCAGUUGAAACUGGCAGUCUGGAGUACAGUAGAGGUGGGCGGAAUUCGUGGUGUAGCGGUGAAAUGCUUAGAUAUCACGAAGAACUCCGAUUGCGAAGGCAGCUCACUGGACUGCAACUGACACUGAGGCUCGAAAGUGUGGGUAUCAAACAGGAUUAGAUACCCCAGUAGUC
rnacentral:rRNA from 1 species